GGGCGACCGGCAACCUAUCAGAGGCGGCCGAAGACCUUCGCGGUUGCGGGUGACGUUUCCUGUUUAUCAUUAUAGGCUACAUGACAUGGGAAAAGUAGCAAAUGUGCAAAUGUGCUAAGAUGUGUAAAGUCACCAUUUCUGCAUCUCAAGCAAAUGCAAUAGCUUUUGCAUCACUAAUGGACCAAAGGCUAAUUCUAUUUCAGAUAAGCCUCCAUUUUUUAACAAUUGGAUUAGUGAAAUGCUCUCAUGCUGCUGCUGGAAAAAAUGACAUACAUUAGGGCCAACUGACAGGAAAACACCAGAGCAACUUGGUCACCAUUCAUCAUAUUUAGUUCAUUUUCAUUGAUUCAGUUUUUCUAACACUAUUUGAAAGAGGCCAUUAGUUUAUUGGAUAUUGGUCUUACGUUACGUUGCAUGGCGCAAAUUUAGAUGUAGAGAAAGUUCAAGACUACAAGUUCUUAAUGGGGGCAUAUUGACAGUAAGCUGGACUGGUCUAAGAACUCACUGAUUGCAUGUAAUAAGAAUCAGAGUAGGCUAUUUUUCCUACGCAGACUCUAAUCAUUUAGGGUCUGCAAGACCAUGCAACGGAUGUUCUUCGACAUUGUGGUGGCCAGUGCCAUCUUCUACGCUGUGAUAUGCUGGGGGAGCAGUGUGAAGGAGGCAAACACAAAGAGGCCUAACAAAACGAUGCAGAAGGCUGGCUCUGUGGUCAGCGGGAAACUGGACACCUGGGAACCUGCCGCAGAUCGGAGAACGUUGGCCAGACUUCAGCCUGUUGAUGGAAAUGUAGAUCAGCCACUUCACAGGGAUGUGGUUGGACAAGAAGCAUCUUGAGGUGCCAGCUGACUAGCAUGAAGUGCUCCACUGAACGCCACUGAAAUCUUUCCUCCCCACAGCCAUCAGACUCUAUUACACCCAAAGUCACUCACCCAUACAAUAAGCUACUUCUCUCCUUCCCUUACUCUGUCUUUAGUCCAUCUUUUAUAUUCUACUAUGAUGUGCAACAUCUGGACUUCUGCUGCUGACUUGUACGGCUCAUACCAAAGCCCCUCCUUUGAAUGUGGAAUAUUUCAUCACUAUGUGCAAUAUUAUCAAUAUUAACGUGCAAUAUACCUCUGGCUCUGUGAGCGACUACUGUGAGAAUAUAAUGCACCUUGUCAGACACUUCUGCUAUACAGCAUUUAGCUCAUUUAAACUCACAGUGAACUAGUCAAAUAGCAAACUAGUUACGCAGUUUUACAUAGUAGUUCCCUGAAAACAGAGUAUGUAGUUUCACUCCUAAAGAGUUUAUAUGGUAGUUAAUUUGACCUUUAGUCAAUCUAUAUAUUUUAUGUUAUAUAUUUGAUUUUCGUUUGAGAUAUAUACCUUCAUUCAUUUUGUUAUACAGUGUUCAUUGUGUCUGAUGGUGUCUCCGUCCAUGUGUGCAGUUGUAGCAGAAACAAUUUCCCUCGGGGAUCAAUAAUGUUUUUCUAAUUCUGAUUCUGACUUUCCAUUCAGUUAGUAAUAAGGAUAACUAUGUGUCUAAUCGCGAGUGCCAGUUUACCUUCUGUUGCGUGUGUAAAAGUGCAAGUGAAAUGUUACAUUUGAUUACCUUUUAUGGUUACGGUUUAAUCACAGUUUGCAUCACAAUGAUAAACUCUGCGUUCCUUAAGUCACUGUCUAGUCUGAGAUGAAAAGAUUAAAAUAUUACUAUGUAUACAGUGUUUCUUUUGGUUUGAUUCAGACAUGAAUUUUCAUGCUGCUGCUCAUUUUAAGUGUAUGAAUGUAUGAAUACAUGUUGUAUUAAAGAAAAACAAAGAAA